AUUUUACUCUUUCCAUUAUCCUGAGCCUGUUUUCCUGAAACCUAAUGACUAACAACCUAUCCUAUAUCACUUACCACUCAAAAAUAAUCAUAAAAUACCAGUAUGCUCUUCAUUUAAACAAAUUAUAAUUUUAAAAUAAUUAUUAAAAAUAUGGUGUAUAUCUAGAAAGAACUAGUGUCAAAGUUUGUGGUCUUAAUUUGUCAAACAAUAACCACUAGAUCCCCAGCCUACCCUUUACCUAUUAAAACACACACACACACACACACACACACACACACANCACAGAUACUCAGAUGAUGUCUUCAGCCCAGAGGCAUCCACCUGCCCUCAUUCUGGAUGCACUGAUUGGUUCUCACAGAGCAGGUAUACUUGCACCGUACCACAAAAGAUUUCAGAUUCUCUCCAUAUUAGCAAGUGUAUGUCUCAUAACUUACCUGUAACUUAUUAGCACCUUACACAUCAAAUCAGAGAUGCAUCUUCCAGGGACACUGUGCAUCUUUGUAACGCUAUUUUCAGUGACACAGGUAUUUAUUAAUCUGUCAAAAAAUAUGUUUUAUUAUUAUUGAUUUAUUGUUCACUUAUGAUUAAGUUGUCUAUCAUAUUUGUAUUUGUCCUAAGGUAAAAGAAGCUUCUGCAAGCUGUAACAUAACAUCAGUAUCAUCACCAACUGCAUCAUCUCUCCUUGUAAAAUGGAACUAUUUUACAGGAGCGACAAACUAUAUUCUGGAUGUCAGGGCUGUGAAUGCCAACAACACAGCACCUAUCACUAUUACACUCCCUGUGUCCACUGUGGAGCGACUGGUCCAAGGCUUAAGACCGGGACAAAUUUAUCUAGUGACUUUUAAAGUGUUUGUGCUCGAUUAUGUAGCAUGCAUCGACUCCCAGACAGCACAGACAAGUAAGUAAUUGACCCACACAGAUCUUAUUCAAUUUCUGAACUUGUUACAUUUUUAAUUAAAUUAAUUUCAUUUGUGCGUGCAGUUCCUGCCACCUCACAAAUAACAUAUUCAAAGGCAAUAUCAAGCACCUCGAUCAGGUUUGAGUGGGCCAGUGCGCAAGGAGCUGACAAAUACAUUUUGGUGGUGAAUGGAACUUUCCAUCCUGAGACUCAUAACCUCACAUUCACCUCGCUAAGUGGACAGAUAGACAACCUCCAGCAAGCCACCUCGUACAGCUGUUACAUUUAUUCUGCCAAUUCCGCAGGACUUGGCGCCAAGAGCCUUGUCAGAACCAUCAGAACAUUGGUGCAGCCACCAGAUAAUGUGGCUGUGAGUGAGUUAACGCAGAGCACGGCUCGCGUAACAUGGAACACCGUCUCAGGUGUCCUGCUUUACCAGCUUUCAGUGAUGGCCAAUAACAAGCCGGGAUUUCCCCCGGUUCUUAAGAACGUCACUGGUACCGCUGUGAAUAUCUUAAACCUGGAGCCGUGUACAACAUACACAAUAGGGGUUGCAUCUAUCAACAUGUUCCUUGAACCAGGAGAGUUCAAUAAUGUCACCUACACAACUUCCAGUAAGUCAAGAAGAAAUAGAACAUUUCAGAGUGAAACCUUUGAAUGAAAUCAUAAAGCAGUAGAUUUAUGCCUUGAUGUGUUUCGGAUGCUUCUAGACUUGCAUAACCAAGACUUCCUUUAAAAAAAAAAGGCCAGAUUCUAGUCCAGAAUAAAUACUAAGCAUAAACCA
ensembl:lncRNA